AUACGUAGGUGGCAAGCGUUGUCCGGAAUUACUGGGCGUAAAGGGUGCGUAGGCGGUUUAUUAAGUCUGGUGUGAAAUUUCAUGGCUUAACUGUGAAGGGUCAUUGGAAACUGAUAAACUUGAGUACGGUAGGGGUAAGUGGAAUUCCAAGUGGAGCGGUGGAAUGCGUAGAUAUUUGGAGGAACACCAGUGGCGAAGGCGGCUUACUGGGCCGGAACUGACGCUGAGGCACGAAAGCGUGGGGAGC
rnacentral:rRNA from 1 species